rnacentral:rRNA from 1 species
UGGGGAAUAUUGCACAAUGGGGGAAACCCUGAUGCAGCGACGCCGCGUGAGCGAAGAAGGUUUUCGAAUCGUAAAGCUCUGUCCUAUGAGAAGAUAAUGACGGUAUCAUAGGAGGAAGCCCCGGCUAAAUACGUGCCAGCAGCCGCGGUAAUACGUAUGGGGCGAGCGUUGUCCGGAAUUAUUGGGCGUAAAGGGUACGUAGGCGGUCUAUUAAGUCAGGUGUGAAAGCGUGAGGCUUAACCUCAUUAAGCACUUGAAACUGAUAGACUUGAGUGAAGGAGAGGAAAGUGGAAUUCCUAGUGUAGCGGUAAAAUGCGCAGAUAUUAGGAGGAACACCAGUGGCGAAGGCGGCUAUCUGGACAGUAACUGACGCUGAGGCGCGAAAGCGUGGGUAGCAAACAGG